CCUAGGGUAGCUCAGUUGGUAAGAGCAUCCGCCUGUUAAGCGGGGGGUCGCAGGUUCGAGUCCUGCCCCUGGGGCCA
rnacentral:tRNA from 1 species